CUACCAUGCAAGUCGAGCGGAUGAAGAGAGCUUGCUCUCUGAUUCAGCGGCGGACGGGUGAGUAAUGCCUAGGAAUCUGCCUGAUAGUGGGGGACAACGUUUCGAAAGGAACGCUAAUACCGCAUACGUCCUACGGGAGAAAGCAGGGGACCUUCGGGCCUUGCGCUAUCAGAUGAGCCUAGGUCGGAUUAGCUAGUUGGUGAGGUAACGGCUCACCAAGGCGACGAUCCGUAACUGGUCUGAGAGGAUGAUCAGUCACACUGGAACUGAGACACGGUCCAGACUCCUACGGGAGGCAGCAGUGGGGAAUAUUGGACAAUGGGCGAAAGCCUGAUCCAGCCAUGCCGCGUGUGUGAAGAAGGUCUUCGGAUUGUAAAGCACUUUAAGUUGGGAGGAAGGGCAUUAACCUAAUACGUUAGUGUUUUGACGUUACCGACAGAAUAAGCACCGGCUAACUUCGUGCCAGCAGCCGCGGUAAUACGAAGGGUGCAAGCGUUAAUCGGAAUUACUGGGCGUAAAGCGCGCGUAGGUGGUUUGUUAAGUUGAAUGUGAAAGCCCCGGGCUCAACCUGGGAACUGCAUCCAAAACUGGCAAGCUAGAGUAUGGCAGAGGGUGGUGGAAUUUCCUGUGUAGCGGUGAA
rnacentral:rRNA from 1 species